AUUGAACGCUGGCGGCAGGCCUAACACAUGCAAGUCGAACGAGUGGCGGACGGGUGAGUAAUGUCUGGGAAACUGCCUGAUGGAGGGGGAUAACUACUGGAAACGGUAGCUACUACCGCAUACCAUCAGAUGUGCCCAGAUGGGAUUAGCUUGUGGGGGGGGUAACGGGUCACCACGGCGACGAUCCCUAGCUGGUCUGAGAGGAUGACCGGCCACCCUGGAACUGGGACACGGUCCAGACUCCUACGGGAGGCAGCAGUGGGGAAUAUUGCACAAUGGGCGAAAGCCUGAUGCGGCCAUGCCGCGUGUGUGAAGAAGGCCUUCGGGUUGUAAAGUACUUUCAGCGGGGAGGCGUUACCCGCAGAGGAAGCACCGGCUAACUCCGUGCCAGCAGCCGCGGUAAUUC
rnacentral:rRNA from 1 species